GGUUGUGGCUCAGUGGUAGAGCACUUGCCUAGCACGUGUGAGGCACUGGGUUGGAUCCUCAGCACCA
rnacentral:tRNA from 1 species